rnacentral:rRNA from 1 species
GACGAACGCUGGCGGCGUGCUUAACACAUGUAAGUCGAACGGAAAGGCCCUGCUUUUGUGGGGUGCUCGAGUGGCGAACGGGUGAGUAACACGUGAGUAACCUGCCCUUGACUUUGGGAUAACUUCAGGAAACUGGGGCUAAUACCGGAUAGGAGCUCCUGCUGCAUGGUGGGGGUUGGAAAGUUUCGGCGGUUGGGGAUGGACUCGCGGCUUAUCAGCUUGUUGGUGGGGUAGUGGCUUACCAAGGCUUUGACGGGUAGCCGGCCUGAGAGGGUGACCGGCCACAUGGGGACUGAGAUACGCCCCAGACUCCUACGGGAGGCAGCAGUGGGGAAUAUUGCACAAUGGGCGGAAGCCUGAUGCAGCAACGCCGCGUGCGGGAUGACGGCCUUCGGGUUGUAAACCGCUUUCGCCUGUGACGAAGCGUGAGUGACGGUAAUGGGUAAAGAAGCACCGGCUAACUACGUG